rnacentral:lncRNA from 1 species
GAACAAGUCUAAUUUUCACAAAGCCUCUGUGAGAGAGGUAUUUAUUAACUCUAUUUUACUGCUGGAGAGCUGAGGCUGAAGAGGUGAAGUGACUUGUCUCAUUCAGUUAACUCAACUGAUAAGUGGCAGAGCUAGGAUGUGAAGCCAUUCCUGUCUGAUAUUAGAGCUGUGGCCAUAACAAUGGUUGUAAUCAUCCAGUUGUGGUGCUCACUUCACCCUGGGGCACUGAGACAGACAGGUUACUCCUCCUCCUCCUCCCCUGCAAGUC